rnacentral:misc_RNA from 1 species
GCAAACUUGGUCAUUUAGAGGAAGUAAAAGUCGUAACAAGGUUUCCGUAGGUGAACCUGCGGAAGGAUCAUUAACGAAUAUAAAUCGGAAAGCUGUCGCUGGCCUCUCGGGGCAUGUGCACGCUGACCGUGUUUCAAAAAUUUCUCACCUGUGAACCUAAUGUAGGAUGCCUCUCCUCUGGGAGAGGGGACCUAUGUCAUCAUAUACAUCUUCGUGUAGAAAGUCUUAGAAUGUUUACUAUCAGAGAGUCGCGACUUCUAGGAGACGCGAAACUCUGAGAUAAAAGUUAUUACAACUUUCAGCAAUGGAUCUCUUGGCUCUCGCAUCGAUGAAGAACGCAGC